rnacentral:rRNA from 1 species
AUUGAACGCUGGCGGCAGGCCUAACACAUGCAAGUCGAGCGAGCGGCGGACGGGUGAGUAAUGUCUGGGGAACUGCCCGAUGGAGGGGGAUAACUACUGGAAACGGUAGCUAAUACCGCAUACCAUCGGAUGUGCCCAUAUGGGAUUAGCUAGUAGGUGGGGUAAAGGCUCACCUAGGCGACGAUCCCUAGCUGGUCUGAGAGGAUGAUCAGCCACACUGGAACUGAGACACGGCCCAGACUCCUACGGGAGGCAGCAGUGGGGAAUAUUGCACAAUGGGCGCAAGCCUGAUGCAGCCAUGCCGCGUGUGUGAAGAAGGCCUUAGGGUUGUAAAGUACUUUCAGCGGGGAGGCGUUACCCGCAGAAGAAGCACCGGCUAACUCCGUGCCAGCAGCCGCGGUAAUAC